rnacentral:rRNA from 1 species
AGAACGAACGCUGGCGGCAUGCCUAACACAUGCAAGUCGAACGAGACCUUCGGGUCUAGUGGCGCACGGGUGCGUAACGCGUGGGAAUCUGCCCUUAGGUUCGGAAUAACAGUUAGAAAUGACUGCUAAUACCGGAUAAUGUCUUCGGACCAAAGAUUUAUUGCCUAAGGAUGAGCCCGCGUAAGAUUAGCUUGUGGUGAGGUAAAGGCUCACCAAGGCGACGAUCUUUAGCUGGUCUGAGAGGAUGAUCAGCCACACUGGGACUGAGACACGGCCCAGACUCCUACGGGAGCAGCAGUGGGGAAUAUUGGACAAUGGGCGAGAGCCUGAUCCAGCAAUGCCGCGUGAGUGAUGAAGGCCUUAAGGGUGUAAAGCUCUUUACCCGGGAUGAUAAUGACAGUACCGGAGAACUAAGCCCCGGCUAACUCCGUGCCAGCAGCCGC